UUCAAAUUUAAAAAAUAAAACAUAAUAUAAUAUUUAUCAUAAAAAUAAAUAUUAUUUGAUUAAAUUAAUUUUUUUAAAUGUUGUAUUUUUAGUGGCGUUUUUGUGAGAAGCGUCGCUAAAGGUUUGUUCUAUAGCGGCGUUUAUGGGAAAAGUGUCGCUAAAGGUAUCGAGCUAUAGCGACGUUUGUGGAAAAAGUGCGGCUAAAGGUUGUGACCUACAGCGGCGUUUGUGGGAAAAGCGCCGCCAAAGCUCUUGAGCUAUAGUGGCGUUUCUGGGAAAAGCGCCGCUAAAUGUCUUGAUCUAUAGUGGCGUUUGUGGAAAAAGCGCCGCUAAAGGUCUCGAGCUAUAGCGGCGUUUUUGGGAAAGCGCCGCUAAAGUUAGCGACGCUGUCAUUAGCGGCGUUUUUUGCGGCGCUUCUCAAAGCGCCGCUAAUGCUUUUAGCGGUGAUAAAAAACGCUGCUAAAGGCCUAAAAAAGCGCCGCUAAAAGCCUGUUUUGGUGUAGUGGAACCUUGAUGUUCUUUAUGUUUCUGUUUACAUGUAACGCCCCAAAAAUUUCCCACAAAUAUAUGUUUGCUUCAGUGGUUAUGUGUUCUAGGAGUGUUUCAGAAGCCUUGGGCCCAAGCCUUGACUUGGGAAAAAAAUUUUGUUUUAAAUGAAUAAAGCCCUAUCUUUAAUCAGUAGGCUUUUAAUUAAUUAUUUGUAAAAACAUGUCAAAAAUGUGCUUACUGUUUGGUGGCAAAGUGGUGGACUAGUGUGUUGAAGGUCAGGAGUUUGAGGCUUCGCAUGAACAAAGGAUUUAAUUUUUAUUGCUUGGCCAUGGAGGUGUUGUAGUUUGACCGAAAUUUGAGUGUUUGAGGAGUGUGGGGAUGUGUGGCCGAUUUUUAGGAGGGUAGUGAGGGGGAUUUCGGUUGUUAAGGGGGUUUGGAUGGGGGUGGUUGGAGAAUUUGAAGGAGAGGAUUAAGGGAUGUGGUGAGAGGUUGUGCUCAAUGGGUUUUUUGUUUCAAAAUUUCGGCACCUUCUCCCCAAAAUUUCCCUAGUUGUUGAAAGAAAAAUCCUUUCCCCUCUUGGCCGAAUUUUUCCUAAGUGUUCUCUCUCUUUUUUUUUCUCUUUUUUUGUAAAUUCAGUUUUUUUUUGUUUUCUCUCAACUCCCUAUCGGUCAUUCUUAGUUCUUUGAAUCGUUUUCUGUAGUGGUUCUUUUUCUCUUUUCUCUACCGAUUAUGUUUCCUCUUAUCCUUCCCUUUGUUGCUGUCGGGAUUCCAUUGAUUCUUGCUAAGUUUUGAGCGUUUCUUUUCAUCCUUCUUUGUCGACCAUUUAUUUGUCUUUCAUCUAUUCAUAUUGGGCGGUGAGCAAACGAUCGCCACUUUACUCCUCCCUUGGCCGAAUCUUCUUCCUCGUUUCACCCUUCACUUUCUCAUUGUCUUGCUGAUUCUUUUCUUCCUCGUGCGGCCGACUGUGCUCCUACCUCUGUUCUCUGGUGAACAUCCUUUAUUUUUUGUUAAGUUUGUACUCUUUGUAGUCGGUUUCUUAUCGUGAUUGUUGGUAAGGGUAAAUAGUAUGGAGUUAGUUUUUUUUUUUUAGCUUGUUGGAUCAAUGCUUACUUGUUUUUGGUUAGUGCUUAGGAGCUGAUUCGAGGGGUGGAAGAUCAUUAGUUGGCGUUAAGUGGGUAAAACCUCAUUCUUUACUCGUUUGAAGGUUUCAAAGGCUCAGGAUUUUCCUUCUCAGCGAAUAGAAACCAGGUAAUCCCCAAACAUAGGUGGAUCAGUUCGACGGAGGACUCAGCGGUGGUCACACAACCUAUUUAAUUUGACUUAGUACUUAAUUAAAAUUUUGAUUCUAUUUUGG